GCGGGGAUUGGCAGGCCUGCCGGUGCCCGUAGCAACACGAUUCACCUAUGGCCCCGUGGAGCGCCGUCCCGUCUUCCGCGAGCGCUUGAUCGCGGGUGAGACGAGUCCCAGGGUGUCGUGGGUGCGACCGUACGGCGGUGCACUCCGUGCAACGCGAAAGCGUCGCGCGGUACCUGCAGCAGCUGGUCCUGUCCGCGAAUUUCGUGUCUAAGGAAGAGGAGGGGGAGAAGGAAAGAAAGAGAGAGGGAGAAAGAGUGCAAAGGUAGAGAGCGCGUUCGUCAGAAUUCGGCAAGUGUUCGUGUCGGGCGGCAGAGGGGUGAGAAGUGAGAGAAAGAGAGAGAUUGUGCCCAUGUCAAAUCCGAUCGGGCGUUCCGUUGACACAGUGCGACAGCGAAGAGACGGAUCCUCGGUGCGUGAAGCGAGCGAGAAGGAGAAUAGAAAAAAGUGCGCUUACACAUACGCAAUAAGUGACUGAAGAGAAGAGACGAGUGCGCACGGCUCUAGGGAAUCUCACGGCCCCGCCGUUGCCAGUCCGGGAAUCGACGGACAGGAGUCUCAAGUGCUGCGAUCGGGUUCGCGAGUCGCCGAGUGAAGUUGCGUCGAGUCGUGUCGUGUCGCGUCGCGUCGGCUGGUCGAGCCGUGGCGGAGCAAAGAGCAGUCGAGGUCUCUCGAUCGCACGCGGUUUGUUCGCCCGUACGCCCGCCCGCGCCUACACGCGCUCCAUUCGAUCGCUCGUUCGUUCGCUCGGCCGCCUCGCUAGUCGGUUAGCUGACUGGCUGGCUAGCUGGUUGGCGUAAUUCGCGUGUGGGUCGGCGGCGCGUAAUGGAGGUGCCGACGGCCGUGAAGUUCGCUCGCGGUACCAAUACCAUCACCGGCAGCAGCGUCAGCUACAUCGGCGGCGGCAACAGCAACAACAACAACAACAACAAUAGCAGCAGCAGGAGCGGCAACGGCACAGCCGUGCACGAGAACGACCGCCGCCGCUGUCGCCGCCACGGUAAUGCCGUGCGCCGCGUCGUCGCGUGAGCCGCGCGAUUCCUGUCGUCGACUGUUCCACACGGUCGGCCGCCGGGCGAGAGAGACGGGCCGAAAUUGCUAUGGGAUCGUCCGGACCGACGACGCUCGUCAACGCCGUGACGGCCGCUCUGUACCUCCCGCUGCCGUGACGAUCACUACCGGUCGCGCCGGCCGAAGAAGGAGAAGGAGCGUCAGCAUCAGCAUCGAUACGCUUCCUCGACGCGCCGCGACUCACCGCACCCUUCCACGGCGUCCUGCGUAUCUAUCGUUCCUAAGGUGUAAACAUUUGGAGACAGAGUGAAAGAUAGAGUGACGGAGACAGAGAGAAGGAGAGAUAGUGAGCGAGAGAGAAGUGUAGAAGAGACAGAGAGAGAGAGAGAAAGAGAGCGAGCGAGAAAUAGAUCGGCGAUAAAGCGAGCGCGGCUCGGCGAGAGGUUAGGCUUGGCACGGGGAUUGAUCCCCGAGAGAUGGCAUCGCCCGUCGAACUCUGACAGUCAGCCAGCCCCUUCGACACAUCCCCCGUUUCCCCGCGCCCUUCCGCGCCCUACGCGAGUGUACACCGCGCCCGCGCGUGCCCUUUUCCGCUCGCGGAAAUUGCGGCGAGUGUCGUAUCGUGUCGUGUCGUGUUCCACCGUGCCGUGUCGUAUCCGUCGUCCGCGCUGUCCGGAGCACGAGGAAUGUCCCGCACAGGGAUCGAUGCUCGUCGCUGAUACCGGGAUUGACGUCGUCGCCGUCGCCGUCUAGUCGCGUGGCCGACGUUGACGCGAGCGUGUAAGUGCGCGGAAUCGUGUGACCGCCGCGCCAGUUGGAUCGUAUCGAUCUCGCAAUCGCCGCAAUCGUGGAUAACAACGGCCGGUACGAGAUGCAGAAGCCAGGGCACGUGAGGGACCGUGAGGGUCGCGACAAGGAGCAGCUCGGGGCGCGCAAUGACCAGGAGGUCACCAAGAGGCCGUCCAAGGGCAGCGGCAACACCGGCCGACCGAACGUGCACUCGUCCCGGCACAGCGUCACCUCGUCGUCCGGCGUGCUCAUGGUCGGCCCGAACUUCCGGGUCGGCAAGAAAAUCGGCUGUGGUAACUUCGGCGAGCUCAGACUCGGGAAGAACCUGUAUAAUAACGAGCACGUAGCAAUUAAAAUGGAACCAAUGAAGUCAAAGGCACCACAGCUACAUUUAGAGUAUAGGUUUUACAAAUUAUUAGGUUCACAUGUUUAUAACACACAUAUAGAGGGUAUACCGGAGGUGUACUACUUCGGCCCGUGCGGGAAGUACAACGCCCUGGUGAUGGAACUCCUCGGGCCGAGCCUCGAAGACCUCUUCGACAUCUGCGGCAGGAGGUUCACCCUCAAGACCGUUCUCAACAUUGCCACACAGCUCCUUCAUAGGAUAGAAUACGUUCAUAGUCGGCAUUUGAUAUACCGCGACAUCAAGCCGGAAAAUUUUCUGAUAGGACGAUCCACUACCAAACGGGAAAAGAUAAUUCACAUAAUCGAUUUUGGACUAGCCAAAGAAUAUAUAGACUUGGAGACAAACAAACAUAUUCCCUACCGGGAACACAAGAGUCUCACUGGCACGGCGCGUUAUAUGAGCAUCAACACGCAUCUUGGCAAAGAGCAGAGCAGAAGAGACGACCUGGAAGCGCUCGGGCAUAUGUUCAUGUACUUCCUGCGCGGCAGCUUGCCGUGGCAAGGGCUCAAGGCGGACACGCUGAAGGAACGCUACCAGAAGAUCGGCGACACGAAGCGGGCGACGCCGAUCGAGGUGCUCUGCGACGGCCACCCCGAAGAGAUGGCCACGUAUCUCCGUUACGUCCGUAGACUGGACUUCUUCGAGACACCGGACUACGAAUACUUGAGGAAGCUCUUCCACGACCUGUACGAGAGACGUGGCUUCGUCAACGACGGCGAGUUCGAUUGGACCGGCAAGCCGAUGUCCACGCCUGUCGGAUCCCUCCAGACCGGUCAGGAGAUCGUCGUGUCGCCCAAUCGUGAUCGGCAUCCCGCCGCCUACAAGGACGUGGCAGGUGGAGGGGUGGGAGGUGGGGGCGGUAAAGGGGUGGGAGCCACGUGGCCAGAUACUGUGAAGCAGUCAGGAGCCGGUGGUACAUUGACACCUGCUGACAGGCACGGCUCUGUACAGGUGGUGUCGUCCACAAACGGGGAGCUGGCUAACGAUGACCCGACUGCUGGCCACUCCAACACACCAAUCACGGCGCCUCAGGAAGUGGAUAUGAUCGACGAAACCAAUGUUUGCUUCAUUUCCAGAUGCUGUUGCUUCUUCAAGCGCAAGAAGAAGAAAAGUGGAAGGCAGAAAUGACUGUCCGUUAUCGUUGGUCUCGGGGGGGCGGUGCAGUGCGCGGUUAAUAGUGCUGAACAGCCCGGGGCGGCGGCCGGGGCACGCGGCGGUGGCCUCACCGCGGCGACGUCGAGGACAAGGGGCGGCAGGCGCAGGGCGGCGGGAGGACUGGGCGACGGCGCCGGCAACAGGGACUCCAUCAGCGCCGACCCUGAGAGGGAGGCCGUCACCUUGUUGCGCGUCGGCAGCCGAUCGGCGUCCCGGGACUCGGUGCUGCACACCACCGUCACAAUGACGCCAACGCCGACUCCGCCGCCGCUGUCGAACUGAGCUCUAGCGCACCCACCACCACUAUCGUCACCACCGUCACAAUCGUCGGAAGCAUCCUACCCUGUCGUUGCUGUUAUUUGUAAUCCAGUGGACGGCCGCGUCACGCGCGACGGUCUCCAAACUCUUCAGUGUCGAGGAGCGAAAGUGAAGCCGUUUCUCCCUCUGGCCGGUCGUGUGCCGGUCCCUUCGAUAGAAAUAAGCGGACUCGACGAGGACGACGACGACGAGGACGAGGAUUAUUCGCCUUCCUCCGCUAGCCGUUCAUGAUCGUCGCGGCCGAUGAUGACUCCUCGUCGGUGUAGUGUAUCCGGAGUUCCGUGGUACUUUGUUUAUCACUGCGGUUAGAAUUGUUCUAGGUACUGUUCUGUGUAUAACGAAAGCGUCUCGCGCGCGACUGAUCGGCUCGAGUUCAUCGGCAUUUACUUAAGACUCUAGACUCGCUGCUCGAAUGCUUGAAUACCGAACCCUCUCAUUCAGACUCACGAGAGCUGCUGCCGGACUUUUUCCUUCGUUUCUCUCGCUUGUUUCUUUCUUACGCGUCGCGUUCGCCGUGCAUUCACGGGAGUGUCAUUCGAACAGAUGAGACUUAUGGUCGGCAGCGAUGUACUUUGCGACGAAUACGGAGCUGGCUUUCUCAUUGGCGGGAAUUUCAUCGCUCGUGAUCUGAAAAGUCGAACAAUGAGCGACGGCACUCGCAAUUCUAUCGCUUUCAACUGGAUUGUCGCGUAGCUGUCGUUCUAGGGAUUACCGCGUCCGACUGUUCCGAAUGACGCGUUCCCCUUCGUUGAUUGCGCGUCCUCUAAACUGAUAAAUUCAAUUGCACAGUAAUGAGGAAAUUCUACGAUAAUGAAGUUCUUGUUGAAAUUUCCAUCAAGAUCAAGGCGACGCUUUGAAUUCGGCAAAUGCAUCUUCGGCCAUCGAUAAGCUUUCUAUCUUCUCAGACAUUAGCUCUUGUAUUCCGAUUCCAGUGUAUUCUUCCUUCCAGGUGUCCCGCCCAUUACCAAUAAACAAGCCGACAAAUGUUCCUCGCGGCCUCGAGUCAUUGAUAAAAGUCGAGGCGUUUGGCGAAUCCACCACUUACCUACUUACACCGAAUGAUCCCUCUCGUUUAGCCCGGAAAGGCUGACCUCGUGCUAUUAUAAUUGCUAUUAUUGUCAUGAUUACAUUUCAUCUUGUUGCUACCACUAUCCUUACGGAUUACUACUACUACUACUAUUACUACUAUUGCUAUUAUUACUACUACUACUACUACUCUACUCUAGUGCUACGCGUGCGCGCGCACGCGCGAUUACUAUUAUUACAAUAUAUCUUUCAUUAUUAUUUUAUUUUAUUUUUAUCAUUAUUAUAUUACGCUAUUAUUAUUAUUAUUAAUAUUAUUAUUAUUAUUAUUAUUACAUUGAUCCUUCGCAAUCAUCGUCAUGAUCGUUCACAAUCACCGAAGUCCCGAUCUUCAUUGCCAUCAUCAUCAUUAUUGUCCAUUAAUUGCAUCGUUAUCGAUAUCGAUGUUAUCGCAAAUAUUGACAUGUCGCCGUUGACUGAGAAUGGUCAUCGGCCGUUGGCGGCGGCCAUGACGACGGUUCGGUACCGAUAAAUCCUGAUCAUCACCACCAUCAUCAUUAUCACACAAGUAGGAGUAAGGAAUUGACGUACCGAUGUUGAGAGGACUUGUUUGUGCCUACGACUCUCUCCUUGUACCACGGGGACGCUUUUUAAUAUACGCGGCGUGUAUAUUGCGAUAUAGUUUAUAUGCGCGCGUCGCGAUACUCUCGCGUGCGGCUCUCGUUGUGGCGAACAUCGCGUUAUAUCGUAUAUUUGAAUUGUAAACGAAUCGAAGCUAUACACAGAUCUCAUUGUACUCACAUACGCCCCCCGCAGGACGAUAAUUGAGCGUAGUGUAAUCCCCUCCCUCCCCCCCGAUAUGUAAUCGAGAGAUUUCGAUUGUCGCGAAGUCCCGAUUGCACGAUAAUGAUCCCUGAAAGGCAUGAAACUGAAACGACGAUCGCGCUCUCCAUCGUCGGCACCUCGGGAUGGGAUCGAGAGCGUACGGAAUUUGUACAUAUAAUGAGUAUCUCUCCCCUCUCUCUCUUUCUGGCCCGUUCUCCGUGUCUCACUCUUCGCCGCGUUCGCAAAUAAAAUCAUGUUACGGAAAUCGCGAGAGUGUACAGAGCGCGUGAGUGCUGCGCCAAGGAAGGAGGUGCUUGAUAAUUUGUUCGCAGGAUAUGAAGCUUACUUCUAUGAAGUGAAAUUUAUAUUUCUGUGAAAAUGAGCUUUAUCUUUUCGUGAAUAAACUUUAUAUCCUGCGACUGAACUUUCGAGUAUUUUUUCCUCAGUGUACUAUAUAGAGCGCAGGCCUCCCCAAUCUCGUCAGCAUAUACUGUUUUCCUUGUAUUUUCAAUGUUUUUUUCUUUUCCAUUCGGGGGAGAUACACCAGACAAUUUUAAAAAAAUAUAUACGUAUGUAUAUUAGGAUGUUUCUCUCUAAUGUGUACGAACAUUUUGUAUAGAGAACGAGCGAUUAUGUAACGUUAAUUCUGAGUCGUGUAUAUCGCGGGAGGAAGUACAAGAAAAGAGAGUAGCAAUAUUAGCGUAUUAUCGCACCACAAGCGUUAUCGCGACGAUACCGUGGAAGUCGUGUCCGUGUUUGUAGUCCGGAGUAUCCGAAUUAAUUGUCGAAGUGGUUUCUUUCGCGUUUCUUACACUGCCCGUCACGUUUUUCUACACUGGGACUCGUGGGACUCGUACGAUAAUUCCAUCGUCGCCGUGCUGGACGGCCGUCGCGAUUGACCGCGCGUUUGCACCGCCGUGAAACUCCAUUCCUCGAAUUAAGCGCGAGAUAUCUCUUCGUACGUAAAUAAUAUACAUCACUUUCGACACAAGGCACGCGAUAUGUGUUACUUUCUCAUCAGCGGAUGUCAUCCGUCGCUCGCUCCGCUCCCUCCCUCCCGCAAUCCCUCAAAUUUUGACGCUGGUCACGCCGGAAAUCCGUGGAGGCGCGUGCGAGUGUGUCGCACUUUCCAAAGCGAUAUCCAGUUUCGGUUUCAUGCCUUCCGCGAGACGAGAAAUUAUCAUGUGAGAGUGCGAUCUAUCGUAAGAGAGAGAACAAUUGAAAACAAUUACAUUUUACAUAACAUAUCGAUGAAGUAAGGUUUUUCUGUCUUGUAGACUCUAGAACGUAUAUAAAUGAAAGUUUAGUAGCAUGUAAAAAUGCGAACAAGUUGAAAUUACGUGACACCGCAGUCGAUUUGUGCUCCACCAGUGUGUAUAUCGGUUAUAUAAAAAGCAAAAUGAAGAAAAAAAAAAGAGAAAGAAAGACCGCGAGGAAAGAAAGGGAAACACGUUUCUUUCGAUACGAAUUCUCCUCUGGCGAAGAGAGUGCAUUUCUUCGAGGACAAUUCUUGCUUCUUGGUCCGUACGUGUUGUCGCGAUAAUGCCCAUUUGGACGAGAGACGAAGAAAAAAAAGGAGCUAACCGAUCCGCGCCUGAAUCUAUUUCGAUGUUCUUCGGCGAAACGAUGAGGAUCUGCUGCGCGCGAAAAAAACCGGGAGAAAAAAGAAAAAAAGCAACAAAAUUGGUCUGGAAACGAAAAAAGGAAGUAAGCAACCGAAGAAAGGGAGAGAGAAAGAGAGUAAUUCGAGCACGGUGUUGAUAAUGAUGCAAUAACUAAAGGAUUCAGCCGCGUAAUAACGGUCUCUGCUGCGAACUUACUCAAUCGUUAUUCCCGAUGGUGUCAUGAGAAGAGGAGAGAGUGGCGCCUGCGAAUUCCUUACGAAACCAGAGUCGAGAGAUAUUCGAGACGAAAAUACGAACUUGGGGGACAUAGGAAAACGAGGGUCGCGGGAGCUCAGCUGUGUCGAUCGAACGAUCAACAACGCGACGAGUGGCGGCGGAUCAAACGACGAGGACUCGCGCGGAGGCGACGAACGUGAAACCUGUGUGUUAUGUCCAAAGGUGUCCACACUUGUACUAGUCUGGCCGACGAACUUCGUACUACCACUCUCGAGAGAUGUGUACACAAACGUAAACCGUACUGUACCGUGUUAAAAACAAACAAAAAAAAAGAGAAAAACACCCGUACACGUUGAUAACCCAAGUAAGCGCGUCCUAUGACAGAAAACCCAUGUACUUACGGAGCUGUUGCGCGUCGAAAGGCCGCUGUACACAGGGCGUCGUGCGUGCGAUUUUUGCAUGACAAGAACGGAAGAGAGGGAGAGUACAUUCAGCGGUCGGACGUCCCGAAAAGUAAUACGCUUAAAAUAGAAAUCAGAAUCUAGAUCAUAUUCUGUGAACUUCCUCUCUCUCUCUCUUUCUCUCUCACUCAUUCUUCCUCUCUCUCUCUCUCUUCUCUCUUUGUCAUUAUCUGUAUCUUCCCAUUGGACGCACCGAGAAUAUCGUUCCUUUUUGUAAAACUUGUGCCGAUCACAAGUCGAUCAUCGAAGCAAUGAAGACGUAGUCAUCCUACUUGUACACCCUACGUUUUAUGUAUGAACGGCAAAGGAAGAAAACAAGAAAGAAAGAAAGAGAGUGAGUGACCAACGCGCGGAUGCCUGACGAAUGUCUGACGACGUGAUGUCCGCGUGUACAUGAUGCUGCGUGUGUGGAAAGAGAACGAGUCGAAAAGAAGUGUUACUAACUGCGGGGCGCUUUUAACGAGCUGAUUCGUAGUUCUCGCGUAAGUUGUAAUAAUAAUACCGUAUCUCCCACUGUACAUAAGAAACAAAAAAGAAGAAAGGAAGGAAAUAAAUGUCAAGGCGCGCGAUUAUAUAUAUAUAUAUAUAUAUAUAUAUAUAUAUAUAUAUAUAUAUAUAUAUAUAUAUAUAUAGCGCGCGCGUCCGCGAGUCGUCCUCGCGAAAGUGAUAGGAUUCGUUCUGCGCGAUCCAGCGUACGGCGGGAAAGCGGCGGCACACAUUGUAAUCCCCCCCGAUCGUGAAGAGAAUAAGACGACGCGUGAGAAGUCGACAGAGGACCGCGAGGAGUCUCCGUAUUUAUAUCACUGUCCUGCCACCGAGUCCGCGUUGGCGUAAUAUAAUAAAUAUUCUGCUGCAACCAUGUUGCAAGGUUUA